CUACAGAUGCUUUUGGGAACAGUCACAAUGAAUACUACAACUCUUCUCAAUUCACAUACGCACAGAGAUACUGAAAGAAAGGAAGAAAAUAUUAGAAACCCAAACAGGCUGAAAUCAUGCCAUGUGCCUGAGCAGCUGAUGCUCUCUUGUGGAGGCAGCCAACCAGAGAAGGGGAUACACGGUGUUGUCUACAAGCCUGCUUCAUGAGAAAUUUUGGCAGGGUCACCCUAUAAGCAUCAUCUUGAACCAGAAGUUGCAUCUUUCCUUCGCAUUCAUCACAAACGGUUUAAGAUGAACACCAGUGGAUCAUCUUGGCUACAUAUAUGAGCCUCUUACUCCAAAGAUGAGAACUGAACCUCAUUUUUAAUGUUAAAUGAAUAGAAAAGGCACAGAUCUACACCCUCAUCCUUUAAAACACACACACUGAUCUUGCUUCACCUUGCAUGUUGUUCCUCUGAAUUUAGAAUAAACUGCCUUUGAAUAGCA